rnacentral:miRNA from 1 species
CUCCCGAUGCCACCUAAUCCUU